CGGUCGGGGAGGGCUUGGCCGGGUCCGUCUCGAUCGUGGACUUCUCCGUCUCGAUCUGCGACGUCUCGAUCUGCGACUUCUCGAUCUGCGAUGUCUCGAUCUGCGACUUCUCGAUCUGCGACGUGUGGUGGACUUCUCCGUCUCGAUCUGCGACGUGGGUGGACUUCUCCGUCUCGAUCUGUGACGUGUGGUGGACGGCUCCGUCUCGAUCUGCGACGUGUGGUGGACUUCUCCGUCCUGAUCUGCGACGUGUAGUGGACGGCUCCAUCUUCUAUCAGCGAGUGCUUGGUCGUCGACGUCUCGAUCUGUGUCGGAGAGUUAACAGCUGCGUCCUCGGUCUACACAGUCG
rnacentral:lncRNA from 1 species